rnacentral:ncRNA from 1 species
CAUUUAUUGUAUGGGAUAAGGAUUGGCUCUGAAGAUUGAGAUAGUCGGGCUUGAUUGGGAAACAAUAACAUGGUUUAUGUGCUCGUUCUGGGUAAAUAGAGUUUCUAUCAUUUAUGAUAGUUAUUUGUUCCCCGGAUAGUUAGUUACGUAGCCAAUUGUGGAACUUUCUUGCUAAAAUUUUUAAGAAUACUAAUUUGUAAUUAGUUCUUUUAAAUUAUAACGAUUAUCAAUUAACAAUCAAUUCAGAACUGGCACGGACUUGGGGAAUCCGACUGUCUAAUUAAAACAAAGCAUUGUGAUGGCCCUAGCGGGUGUUGACACAAUGUGAUUUCUGCCCAGUGCUCUGAAUGUCAAAGUGAAGAAAUUCAAGUAAGCGCGGGUCAACGGCGGGAGUAACUAUGACUCUCUUAAGGAGGACAUGGUCCUGGUGAACGCAGAAGGUCAACGCAGAAAUGCUAUACUUCGUAAGUCCGGAUCCAGGUCAAGUCGACUCGAAACCUCCUCGUGGUGUCCUCUGGAUGCUAUCUUGGCCAUUGUCUAGUUAGUAACAGAUUCGAGCGGCGGUAUUCUGAAGGUCUAAUCCUGACGAAUAUUAGAAAACGUUGGAAUAUGGUCUAG